GCUGAAACAGGGCCCAGCCAACCAGACAUUAUCAAUAUGUAGACAGAGUGUUUAACAGUCAAAAGGAUACAGUCUUACUGUCACAAGGCCAAAGACCCAGAAAGAGAUUCACCAUAGAGGGAGGAGACAUUUCUCCCUAACCACCGAUCAUCAUUUAACAGUGAAGACCCUGCUCCACAGGCCAGGUUGAUACUGUCCGUCGGUCUGGUCCGUCUGCUCUUCCUCAAGAGGAGGAAGUGGAGGACCUACGUAUUCUAUCUGGGAGGGAGGGAGAUUCCUAACCAGUGUUACAAAAGUAACACGUUACGUAAUCAGAUUACUUUUAUGAGUAACAGAGUAAAGUAACACAUUACUUUUUCAAAUUGGGUUCUAUUAUUACAGUUACUUCGACAACACAUGCGUUACUUUCAGAAUCAUCUCUCUACCAACAACCUGUCCUGUGUCUGUCUGUCUGUCCAGGUACAGAGAACAUUAUGUCAACAACCUGUCCUGUGUCUGUCUGUCUGUCCAGGUACAGAGAACAUUAUGUCAACAA
ensembl:lncRNA